rnacentral:tRNA from 1 species
GCUCGGUUGGCGCAAUGGUAGCGCAACAGGUUUCUACCCUGUAGGCUGUGGGUUCGAGUCCCACAUCGAGCU